UUCGUUAUAUAUUUGUUAUCUUUUGCAGAAAUUUGUCAGCCCUAAACCCAGGUUCCCAGAAAGAAGAAAACAUUUUCCACCUCUGGUUACUCUUAUUCCCUUUCUUUAGUCAAGUUUGGUUAAAAUAUAAAUACCAUAAAUACUAUAUGACAUUCCUAACGUAGGGGCCCAGCGUGUCAGGUAAACACCAAAGGCAAAGUGUUUUUCAUCUCCACGGGAGCUUAUUGUAGUAUACAACACGUUUGAUAUUAACUUACUCAGCAUAUCGAUAAUUCAUACCCAGGCUCUUUCUUCAAAGCUCAAAGUACCGACGCAGAGUUUCCAGGCGCAAACUGAAACGUCACAUUUUUAUCCAUGAUUUUAUAUUGAACAAUCUUUUCUGAUGGCCGGCCUGUUGAUAUGGCAACGUGGUGGUCAAUGAUUUCAAGC